GUCGAGGAUUUUUCUCAAUGGGGGAAACCCUGAAGGAGCGACGCCGCGUGGGGGAUGAAGGUCUUCGGAUUGUAAACCCCUGUCAUCCGGGAACAAGGCGCUCCACCCAACACGUGGAUCGUUGAUAGUACCGGAAGAGGAAGCCGUGGCUAACUCUGUGCCAGCAGCCGCGGUAAUACAGAGACGGCAAGCGUUGUUCGGAUUCAUUGGGCGUAAAGGGUCCGCAGGCGGUCGGUUAAGUCGGAUGUGAAAUCCCAUGGCUCAACCAUGGAAGGGCAUCCGAAACUAGCCGGCUCGAGGACUGGAGAGGAGACUGGAAUGGUCGGUGUAGCGGUGAAAUGCGUAGAGAUCGACCAGAACACCGGUGGCGAAGGCGGGUCUCUGGACAGUUCCUGACGCUCAGGGACGAAAGCCAGGGGAGCAAACGGGAUUAGAUACCCGAGUAGUCC
rnacentral:rRNA from 1 species